rnacentral:rRNA from 1 species
AGGGAAUAGAUACCCUGGUAGUCCACGCUGUAAACGAUGAGUGCUGGACGUUGGCGGGUUUACCUGCCGGUGUCGCAGCUAAACGCGUUAAGCACUCCGCCUGGGGAGUACGGCCGCAAGGUUAAAACUCAAAGGAAUUGACGGGGGCCCGCACAAGCGGUGGAGCAUGUGGUUUAAUUCGACGCAACGCGCAGAACCUUACCAGCCCUUGACAUGGGCGGACGGGGUCCAGAGAUGGACUCUUUCUCGCAAGAGACCGCUACACAGGUGCUGCAUGGCUGUCGUCAGCUCGUGUCGUGAGAU